CACCAAUCUUUCGCCUUUUACUAAAGAUUGCCGUGCGGCGUCUACAUCUAAUGCUUCUUACUCAAUUUUUCUUGGCGUUUAGACGCCUA
rnacentral:snRNA from 1 species